CGCGUGCAGGAAGAAGGCUUCGGGUUGUAAACUGCUUUUGUACGGAACGAAACGGUCUGGGUUAAUACCCUGGGCUAAUGACGGUACCGUAAGAAUAAGCACCGGCUAACUACGUGCCAGCAGCCGCGGUAAUACGUAGGGUGCAAGCGUUAAUCGGAAUUACUGGGCGUAAAGCGUGCGCAGGCGGUUUUGUAAGACAGUCGUGAAAUCCCCGGGCUCAACCUGGGAAUGGCGAUUGUGACUGCAAAGCUGGAGUGCGGCAGAGGGGGAUGGAAUUCCGCGUGUAGCAGUGAAAUGCGUAGAUAUGCGGAGGAACACCGAUGGCGAAGCAAUCCCCUGGGCCUGCACUGACGCUCAUGCACGAAAGCGUGGGGAGCAAACAGGAUUAGAUACCCUGGUAGUCCACGCCCUAACGAUGUCAACUGGUUGUUGGGUCUCUUCUGACUCAAUAACGAA
rnacentral:rRNA from 1 species